CUUCCAUGGUUUCCAGGGAAGCUUUAGAGCUGAGAACAUUCGUUUGGCCUUCUCAAGGUCUUUGUGACCCAAAUAGGGUGUCCAGCCUAACUCAUCUGCACAUUUACGCCUGGGCCUAGAUGAAAGGGGUGAAUCUAAGAAAUUGGUGGGGAAGAGAAUAAACCUAACGAUGUCUUUGCAUAUGUGUCUUCCUGCUUUUGCCUUUUUCCAGACUAAGUUAAAUAGCCUGGUUGGCAAUUGCUGAGACAGGUUUAAAGCCAAUUCAGUAUUUCUGAAAUAUAUGCAAUAUCAUGGCCGUGGUGCCAACUUUGGUAGAAACUGGGUCAAAGGGUGGAGUAGGAGGAAGGGAUGUUCUUCAAAUGGAACACUCAGCCGUCUGCCAACCAAGCUAUGAUUGAAGAGUAAGGUUCUUGGAGAACACAAAGGAAAAUUGGCCGUGAAUGUGGACCAAAGCAGCAGAUUCCCUGAAAAUGUCCCAGCACUUCUCCAGUAAUCACUAUGAGCAAAUGAUUGAUGAUGACUGGAGCCUCCCAGAAUCUUGGUCAUACAUGAGACGACACAGGAGACCAUUUGAGGACAUAUUGAGAAGGUGGCCAUCUGCAAGCUGACAAAGGAGACCUUCCUGGAAACCAACACUGUUAGAGCCUUGAUCUUGGACUUCUAGCCUCCAGAACUGUGGGGAAACAAAUUUUUGUUGUUUAAUCCACUCAUUUUCCUGAUUCUUUGAAUAACUGGGAAUGUUUUUAAUUAGAUACAAGACAUUGUGAAUUUCUAUACAUAUUCUCAAGCUUUGGGGAUGCAGUUAAAUCAUGUGGAAACAAUAGGAUCCUUUUAAGGCUAGCUCUUAAGACUUGUUAAGCUGGAGCAGUGCAGUCUUUAGUAUAGGGCUAGUUUUGUUCCAGUACUAAGGCAAUAUAUGUCCUUUGCCUGAUGCUCUGUGCGCAUGAACUAUCCCUUGCUUUUUAUAGGCUCUAGAGAUUCUCACUGAUAUUUUCAGCUAUUAUUUUCCGCUGGCCUUGGAGGAAAAUAAGACACAUGUACUCAUUGGUAUUGAGCCAGAGCCUCAAGAGGCCUCUCUGUAGAUUUCCAGAAUUCUCUUUCUGUCCUUCUCUCCUCUGCCCUGUGAACAUUAGCUGCCUUGGCCAUCCCAAACUCCAUCUCCUCAUUUAAUUUUUUUAAUGUUUUUAUUUUAUUUUUGAGAGAGAGAGAGACAGAGACAGAGAGACAGAGGCAGAAUGCGAGCU